GGGCUGGUAGCUCAGUGGUAGAGCGGCAGGCUGCAGUAUCCAACGGCUUCCUGUAGGUCAUGAGUUCAAUUCUCAUUCAGCCCU